rnacentral:lncRNA from 1 species
UAGACAGGAGUGCUGCAUCUGGAUGGCAUGGCAGAGGGAAGCCCCAGCUGCCACUGCUCCAGGGACCCUUAUAGUUCCACGGUGAUGGGGAACAGAAAGAGGCUCUUCCAGGAAACAGCCUUGGGGACAAGGAGACCACACUUCUGGGUGAUUCGAAGAUCAGACAAGGCUCCUGUAAAAUGAACGAAUGAAGUGAAUGAAUGAGACGGAGUUGCACUGUUAGAGAUGGUGGCAGCAGUGUGAAUCAAAUGAAGUCCCGCAGAGCCGAGGACCAGGAGGUGCCACAACACCAAGGGGACAGGCCCCGCAGAACGCUGUGGGGAGGAAGACAUGACGCGACAGCCUCAAAGCACCCGGCAGAGCUCUCGCCUCCUUCCCUGUGAUUGCCAGUG